UAAGUAGUCAAAUUUGUCAUCGUGCAAAAUUAACUGGUUGUUUAAUUCCCAGUUGUGUUCUACUCGUUUGUGCGCAUGCUUGCACAGCUUGGCUUGCCCAGCGUGACGCUGCGAAGGAGGCUCACAAUACGAUUGGCUUGCCUAGCGCCACAACGUACCACCGUUGACUCUCCCUACGGCACCUCACGCAAUGUAUGGAUGUGCUGUUACUCAUGAAUGUUUCAGUUUUCAAUCCGUUUGGAUCCA
rnacentral:lncRNA from 1 species